rnacentral:rRNA from 1 species
ACGGAAGGCAGCAGUGGGGAAUAUUGGACAAUGGGGGAAACCCUGAACCAGCGACGCCGCGUGAGUGAAGAAGUAUUUCGGUAUGUAAAGCUCUAUCAGCAGGGACGAUAAUGACGGUACCUGACUAAGAAGCCCCGGCUAACUACGUGCCAGCAGCCGCGGUAAUACGGAGGGGGCAAGCGUUAUCCGGAUUUACUGGGUGUAAAGGGAGCGUAGGUGGCCAUGCAAGUCAGAUGUGAAAUCCCGGGGCUCAACCCCGGAGCUGCAUUUGAAACUGCGUAGCUAGAGUGCAGGAGAGGUAAGCGGAAUUCCUAGUGUAGCGGUGAAAUGCGUAGAUAUUAGGAGGAACACCAGUGGCGAAAGCGGCUUGCUGGACUGCAACUGACACUGAGGCUCGAAAGCGUGGGGAGCAAACAGGAUUAGAUACCCUGGUA